AUGUUAUUAUUUUAUUUUAUUUUCUUUAUUUUCUUUUAUUAUUAUUUUUACAACUACUCCUUUUAAAUGCAUUUUAUUAUUAAUAGAAUCCUGUGCCCAGAUAGUGUUCUUCCACUCCAGGAGGAUAAAUCAGGCACAUUUCAGAAUGCACAAGUCCCCUCAGGUUGUAGCUCCCAUGCACUUUGAAUUAGUAAGGCUUGGAGUCUGGUGUCCUGACUGAUUGAAUGUUUCCUUGCCCAUCAUCCCAGGUUUCUCAUCCAGGGAGCAAGAUCACACAAGGUGGCCAUUCCAAAGCUAAUUAGCAUCUACAUUGUGGAUAUGGCAUGUGUGUCUUAUAAAUCCACUCACUCCUUUUCACAGUACCCUACCCCUCGCAUUUGCCUAGUUUGUACAUUUCCAUGGGCUCAGUAUAGAAGUGACACUUGAUGUGUCAAGUGAUGGUUUUCAUGACUGUGGAAAGUAAGUGGAAUUUGACUGAAAGAAUUUGGGAAGUGGUAAAAGAAGAGUUUUUCCUCCAAGUUCAAAGAGGGAAAUGGAACUAAAUGAAAAUUUGAAUGACAUGAGAAAGUGUUUUAGUUAUAUCAGGAGGACAAGCGAAACUAAGUUACAUGUCUUAUCUCCCCAACAAAAGUGUCUCAAGGGACAAAGACUUUGUUUUAUAGUAUUGAUGUCCCCAGAGUGUGAUAGAUAUCACUGCAAAUGUAAAUAUCACUGCAAAAUGGCAAUUUGUGAGCCAAGAGAAGAAUUGUUGCCAAUUUGGCUUAGCUCCCUGGGGACUAUCGCACUUGACCCAGAGUUUAGUGGGUCUCAGGUGUACUUAGGAAACUUCUCUUGCUCCCAGGACACAGAAUCCUAGAUCCUCCUUACUGUCCUUGAGAUGCUUAGAAAUGCCACAAGGAGCUUAGAACUACCUCAAUCCUUAGAGAGUUCCCAAGACAGAAACUGGCCAUCAAAAGUCUCGUAAGGCCUGAACACUCCAUCCUUAGGGUGGAUUCUAGAACUCUGUUGGAGUCCACCAGGGUAGUGCAAGAGGUCCUUGUGGGUGACUUUUUGUGAUGUAGCCAAGUGGCUACCAUGGCCUGCCUGAUCCUGGGGAGUGGAGACCCUUUUCUACUGUUUCUUUCCUUGGUGAAACCUAGUGGGACGCUGAGGAGAAAAAUAAGUAGUUUGGGGUGCAUGAGAGAAAUGGUAAAAAUAAGCAUGAAGGGAAGAAUCAUAUUAAUUGUUUAUUGAUUUCUAAGAAUAUGAGAAUAAUAAUAAAGUCAUUUGGUGUAAUAUUGUUGCAUUUCCCCCUAUUGAGAACUCCGAAGAUCUAGACAUUGCACUUAACAGGCAAUGAAACCUUUCUGUAAGCACAAUGGGGACUUGACAUCUAAAAACAGAUGAUUUGGUCAUUUUGCCCAAUUUACGAAAGGGGAGAAAGUUGGGGAGUUAACUGAAUUUCAUUUCUGUUUUAUCUUUUUGGAUUUGGAGAAGCAAUGAAAAACCAUUAAUGUUUUUUUCUUUAUUAUUUUGGUUGAGGUAGAGGAGAGAGCUGAUAAAUAAGGAUGUUUGCUGGAAAUACUAAACUUUAAUAACUAAAAAUAAAGAAUAUUCCAGAGCUUCUAUUUUAAAACCUUUUGAUGUUACAACCAUAUCUGUAUUAAAACAGUCAAUGGAAAAAUGACAGACCAAUAAAAGCAACAAUUUCCAGUACUUCUGGACACAAUUUACUACCUGAUUGCCCUGUCUUUGUACUGCAGAUAACUCCAAUCUUAUCUUUGAUAGGCAUAAACCUUGCACAAAUAAUUUACCCUCUCCAAGCCUUGGUUUCACCUAUUAUAAAAUGUGGAUAAUACUAAUGACAUCAUAAGGUUGUAUUAAAAACUAAAUGAGAUAAUAUGAGUGUUGAUAUAAGCAGCCAUUUAUAGAAUUUCUGCCUUACAAAUUGCAGUAUCUUUGAGAAGUAACAUUCAAUCCAAUUGCAGCAAAAACUAUUCUCAUUGAGAUAUUGUAUACUGAUCGUGCUUUGGCCAUUCUUACAUAUCUAGAAUCCUCUUGUAAAGUUUUAGAGAAGUUUGUAACUUGAGUCAGGGAAUCAUAAAACCAUGGGAGCUGGCAUCCUUCCUAUUCUGGAUGAUUCUCUGUCAGAUUUCUUCCAUUUUUUACCUUAUUGUCCUUGGAAGCUCUCCCCUCCAGGGAUUCACUUGGACUUAUGAAUGCAUUUGAAAUCCUCUAAGAACAAUGAUAGAAUUGUAAAAUAUAUUUUAUUUGAAGAAAAGUGGUAGGUGUGAGAUGAAGGUCUUGAGGAAUUGAGGCUCAGCAUUGGCUGAGAGCGCCAGGCCUGAGCCAAGAGUAACAUGAAAGACUGGCCCUUGCCCUUACUGCUAGCUCUCUAGCCAGGCCUGUGAGAUUGGGUGUCCUCUCUAUUUCUUCCUUUGCAAAUGACCUGCACUCUCUUCCUCCUAGGGUACUGUAUAAGGUGUUGGAAUGGGAAGGGCAGGGGAGCUUGGGAUGACAGUACAAUGGCUGGAUUCAGGAAAUGAUGUUUUGCCAUUCACUCUAUGAAUCUUUAUGGAGUCCCUUUUAUGUCAGGUCCUGUUCUGAGGAAUCAAGGAUGCACAAACACUGAUAUAUUCCCUGUGAUGGAGGAGCUUACAUCCAAUGAAGUAGUAGAGUUUUUUGUAGAGCUCUUUGAAAUUCCCAUGGCUUACCUACUGAAUCUUCUUUGGAAUCUUCAAAUUCCCCAAAUCUUUAGAGACUUGGUGGUCACUCACUGGCCAGAGGCAUUGUAAAAGGAUUCUGGAGAUUUCAACUUUUCAGCAAAAGCGCUCCCGAAUCUUUAGUCUGAUUCUGGGAUCCCCAAGGAGACUGGGAACCUUUCUCUGGAUCUUUCCUGUGAAAGGACCAUAUGCUCCGUCCUCUGAUGCAGCACAAAUAGCUACUGUGAAGCUCAGUGGUGAGUUUCAAUGAGUUUAUUCCACUAUCUGUGGCCCAGGUAGGCUUGGACUUACAGGUAUGUUUGUGUUAUGUUUCAUAUUCAAAUGCACAGUUCCAGCAGUAUACUUUAUAAAUUGUACUCUUUGUCUUCCUUGUAAUCUGUCAAGCACCAAGUAUAGUGUCAUCUCUGUGUGGAUGCUCUACAAAUGCUAAUUGGUAGUGAUCAGGAUAAUGAUGUUGACAAAUGACUCCAUGAAACUGAUGAAUCAUUUGGUGGAAGAGGCCUGGCACAGCAGUUAUGUAAUGUUGCUUCACCGAACAGGUAAUGUUUCAUACCUCAGAGCAACAGAAAACAUUUUGCCUGCCAGUGUUACUAUUUCUAGUCAGAGCCAAAAAGGCAUUUUGGGAGAGAGAAGAACUUUUGAAUGACAUUGACCCUGUAAGCAGACCCUUAUAGAGAUACCGCUGUUUCCUUUGGUGCAGGCUCGACCAAAACCUGGCUCCCGCAUGAGUAGGCAAUCAAACAAAAAGAUGAAGCAAGAAGUUUGAAUCAGCUAAUAAAAAUAAAUAAACUAAUUCAUAUGAGUAUUAGCA